GAUGUUUCCUUCUAUGACUGCUAGAGCUAUCAACCUCGAUGUUAUAUCCAAUGGCAUGGGUGGAACAAGAAAUGGUGCUCUCUACAAGUGGCACUGUAAUUGACUGCAAAAGUAAUGGAAGAUAAUCCUCCCUCAAGUCUUUUAGAUUGGGUGGUUAUUGGAGUCAAAUUUGGUAUGGCUACACGCAACAAAAAGUUUCUGAGAUGUGGAAUCUCAACAGGUCUUGAUGCUACAUUAAAUGUUGCAAAACCAAGGAAAGAUUCAUCAUUAGCUAUAUUUGGAUUGGGAGCUUUGGGACUUGUUGUGAGUUGCCUUGCCUCUUUCAAAAUGAAAGGAAAUUUUUGUAAAUUUUUUGCGUUUACAUUUUCUGUAGGCGAGGCAGCUAGACUCACCGGUGCUUCCAAGAUAAUUGGGGUUGACUUGAUUCAAUGAAUUUGAUUUAGUAUAUGGUUUGAUGU